rnacentral:rRNA from 1 species
AUUAAACGCUGGCGGCAUGCCUUACACAUGCAAGUCGAACGGCAGCACGGGGGCAACCCUGGUGGCGAGUGGCGGACGGGUGAGUAAAGCAUCGGAACGUAUCCUGGAGUGGGGGAUAACGUAGCGAAAGUUACGCUAAUACCGCAUAUUCUGUGAGCAGGAAAGCAGGGGAUCGCAAGACCUUGCGCUCUGGGAGCGGCCGAUGUCGGAUUAGCUAGUUGGUGGGGUAAAGGCCUACCAAGGCGACGAUCCGUAGCGGGUCUGAGAGGAUGAUCCGCCACACUGGGACUGAGACACGGCCCAGACUCCUACGGGAGGCAGCAGUGGGGAAUAUUGGACAAUGGGCGAAAGCCUGAUCCAGCCAUGCCGCGUGAGUGAUGAAGGCCCUAGGGUUGUAAAGCUCUUUCAACGGUGAAGAUAAUGACGGUAACCGUAGAAGAAGCCCCGGCUAACUUCGUGCCAGCAGCCGCGGUAAU